CCUCAUCCUUAUCCUUUCUCUCCCUCAGAUAUCUUUCUUGACAACAAAGCUGCCCUCUCUUCUUGCUCGGACUCUCGCUCAACUGAGCUCCUCCGGAGUAGCAGCAGCAUUCCGGCUCCUGCUCUCUCUCUCUCUCUCUCAUCGUUCCCUCAGCCAAACGAGCAGCAAGUCGAGCUCACCGCUACCUUGCUCAGCCUCUCUGUCACCGAGCUACUGCAUGGAGCACCCCAUGGAGCCCCUCCAUCAUCACAUAAGCCCCAUUGUCAGUUCCCUCGCCCGCGAGCUCGUGCAGCCUGUUCCAGUUCCGGCCGUUAGACGAUGCGCACCGCCGCCACGAUUCUUCCUCCUCCGGUGAGCCCACGUCGAUUCCUCCUGGCCAUGACUCCUUCACUACCUUGUGCCCCUCCUUGACUGAUCCUCGCCGCAAAUCCGCAGUUGCACGCGCUGUCGUGGCCAUUUUUUCCUCUGCCGAUCACCGUGGCCACCACCGAAGCAUCUCAUCGACGACCAACCGCUCCACAGCUUCUCUAAGCCAACUUGCACCAUGGAGAGCCCAACUGUGAUCCCCUGGACGUAAAACGUGCACCCCCUUGGCCCUGGCCCAUCGCCGGCGCGGUGCUCCCGGAGGACCGAGCGCCCCGUGCGGCCUUACCCGUCGCCGCCCGUGCUUUGGUCGGGCUCUCCGGCCAAGAAGCACAUGGACCAGUUCGCCUUCGUGUGCUCGAUGAGUUGGUGCAAUUCUCCGGCCGAACCACGCCGUCUCCCGCAGCCGGCGAUGCCUCCGGCAAGCCCAUGAAAUAUUUUGUGUUCAUUGCCGUGGAUUUUAUUAGACGAAUUUAUGUGUGCUUCUGGUAUUUAUCGAUCGAGUAUUUGGCGUGUAACAUGAGUGCGAUCGGUGAUGAAUAAUAGAGAGCAGAAAUACCACAAAGGAAAUUAUGGGAAUGUCGACACCGGGUCUUUCUUGGAUUCAACUCCCAGUCAUUUGCCUGUGGGCAGCAUUGUGGCACACUUCUAGAUAUUUGGAUCUAUUUCAUAGUAUUUUUCCGCUGCAUAUCCUUUUAUAUUGUAGAUCGGUUAGUCGUAAUGUUGUAAAUUUAAUCCAAUUAAACAUAUUCACCUUGUAAAAUGUAUGGAUGUGAUAUUGCUAUUGUAAC